rnacentral:rRNA from 1 species
CCUACGGGUGGCAGCAGUAGGGAAUUUUUCACAAUGGGCGAAAGCCUGAUGGAGCAACGCCGCGUGCAGGAUGAAGGCCUUCGGGUUGUAAACCCCUGUCAUGUGGGAGCAAAUUAAAAAGAUAGUACCACAAGAGGAAGAGACGGCUAACUCUGUGCCAGCAGCCGCGGUAAUACAGAGGUCUCAAGCGUUGUUCGGAAUCACUGGGCGUAAAGCGUGCGUAGGCUGUUUCGUAAGUCGUGUGUGAAAGGCGCGGGCUCAACCCGCGGACGGCACAUGAUACUGCGAGACUAGAGUAAUGGAGGGGGAACCGGAAUUCUCGGUGUAGCAGUGAAAUGCGUAGAUAUCGAGAGGAACACUCGUGGCGAAGGCGGGUUCCUGGACAUUAACUGACGCUGAGGCACGAAGGCCAGGGGAGCGAAAGGGAUUAGAUAUCCGGGUAGUC